rnacentral:rRNA from 1 species
UACAGAGGUCUCAAGCGUUGUUCGGAUUUACUGGGCGUAAAGGGCGUGUAGGCGGCCACCGCAAGUCGGUUGUGAAAUCUCCGGGCUUAACCCGGAAAGGUCAACCGAUACUGCGGGGCUAGAGUGCAGAAGGGGCAACUGGAAUUCUCGGUGUAGCGGUGAAAUGCGUAGAUAUCGAGAGGAACACCUGCGGCGAAGGCGGGUUGCUGGGCUGACACUGACGCUGAAACGCGAAAGCUAGGGGAGCGAACGGG